UACGUAGGGGGCAAGCGUUGUCCGGAAUCAUUGGGCGUAAAGAGCGUGUAGGCGGCCCGGUAAGUCCGCUGUAAAAGUCAAAGGCUCAACCUUUGAAUGUCAGUGGAUACUGCCGGGCUAGAGUCCGGAAGAGGAGAAUGGAAUUCCUGGUGUAGCGGUGAAAUGCGCAGAUAUCAGGAAGAACACCCGUGGCGAAGGCGGUUCUCUGGGACGGUACUGACGCUGAGACGCGAAAGCGUGGGGAGCGAACAGG
rnacentral:rRNA from 1 species